CUUUUCUGACAGGUGUGGAUCGAUGUUUUUGACCUUAGUGACAUCACUUCUACCUGAGGGGAACCGCCUGAGAGGAGAGAGCUACUGCAGACCUGAAGCCACCAAACCAGUUCUCACAGUAUUCAGUGUUGGCAGCUCGGCUCGAGGAGCUCAGACGCGUCGCCUGUGAUGCGUCUGCAGAACGAGUCGUUCAUCCUCGUAUCUGAAGAGGAACAUGAAGUCCUGAAGACGGCCGUAUCGUCGUGGGAGAGCGGGACUCUCUUCAUUAUCAGGAGGCAGGGGGAGUGAAGGGAGGAGGAGUCAGAGAGGAGUCAGCCUGCUGUGUGCCUCUGACUUCAGGACUUCAACUCCAGACCUGCUUGGUGGAGGCCAACAGAUCAGACAUCAGUGCAGAGACCCCAGAUGGCUUCAUCACGUCUCCCACGGCUCAUCAGAAGCCUCUCGCCUCCAUGUUGAACCCGCCUCAUGCGUUCAUCAUCCAAAGCUGUUGCUGCUCAUGCCGGCUAUGGCUAAUGGCUGGUGGCUAAUGGCUAAUGGCUGUUGGCUGUUGGCUGUUGGCUGUUGGCUGGUCUCCAGAUGUCCUGCGUAAAAGUUUGUAAAGCUGAGUCUAUAAAAGUCGUGCACUUA